UUCCGGCCGGCGACUAGUGCAUUAUCUCCGGCAACCAGAAUCGAAAUUGUUACCAGUAACAAUGAAGUCCAUAUCUCCAUUGUUCUCAGUUUCCACUGCCAAGUCUCCAAUUUUCUACUUCAGUCCUAUUUCCCAAAGACUUUCGUCUGUCAAAUUUGCAGCCCCACCGAAGAUAAAUUCACCAGAUACGAAAAGACCCAGUUCAAAAUCAGCUAAAACCCUCUCUGCAGCUCCUACAAUAGACCCAAUAACUACUACUGCCGCUUCCGCAUCUCCCAAAAAGGUUCUACUGCCAAUUGGGUUUGGCACAGAAGAAAUGGAAGCUGUAAUAUUGGCUGAUGUUCUGCGCCGGGCUGGUGCAGAGGUAACAGUGGCAUCAGUAGAGCAGCAGUUGGAGGUUGAAGCAUAUGGAGGCACUAGGCUAGUUGCUGAUACUUUCAUCUCUACUUGUUCCAAUGAAAUAUUUGAUCUUGUUGCAUUGCCGGGAGGAAUGCCAGGUUCUGCUCGUUUAAGAGACUGUGAAGUUCUCCAGAAGAUCACAAGCAGGCAAGCUGAGGAGAAGCGACUUUAUGGUGCCAUAUGUGCUGCUCCAGCAGUCACUCUUUUGCCUUGGGGUCUUCUCAAGAGGAAACAGACCACUUGUCAUCCUGCAUUUAUAGACAAAAUUUCUUCCUUCCGGGUGGUGAAAACUAACACACAAGUCUCUGGAGAGCUAACAACAAGUCGUGGUCCUGGCACUUCAUUUGAGUUUGCCAUAUGUUUAGUGGAGCAGCUGUUUGGCGAGCCUGUUGCCAGAGAAAUUGGAGAACUCUUGUUGAUGAAUCCUGCAGGUGAUGACCCAAAGAGACAAGAAUUCAAUGAAGUUGGAUGGUCUCUUGAUCGCACCCCCCAAGUUCUAAUUCCAAUAGCCAACGGGUCUGAAGAAAUUGAAGUGGUUACCUUGAUAGACAUUCUAAGACGAGCAAAGGUGAAUGUUGUGGUGGCUUCAGUGGAAAAAUCAGCACAGGUUUUGGCAUCAAGUGGAACAAAAAUUGUUGCAGACAAGUUGAUAAAUGCUACUUCUGACUCCAUAUUUGACUUGAUUAUCCUCCCGGGAGGAGCUGCCGGGGCUGAACGGCUGCACAAGUCAAAAAUUCUCAAGAAGUUGCUUAAGGAACAAGAGUCAGCUGGAAGAAUAUUUGGUGCAAUCUGCUCUUCACCUGCAGUCUUGCAGAAACAGGGGUUAAUAAAGGACAAGAAAGCCACUGCACAUCCUGCUGUCUUAGACAAGCUCAAAGACGGGGUAAAUGAUGCUCAGGUAGUUAUCGACGGUAAACUCAUCACAUGCCAGGGACUUGCUACAGCGAUACAGUUUGCACUGGCUAUUGUGAGCAAGCUUUUCGGGCAUGCAAGGGCAAGGAGUGUAGCAGAAGGUCUUGUCUAUCAGUACCCUAGGAGCUAGAAAUGCCAGUCCUGAAACCUUCAGAGUGCCCAAGUAUGUUAUAGGGGCAACUCAUAUCGAUGGAUUACAUACAUACUUCACCGGCAAUUACAAGAAAGGCAACUUUCUUGUCCUUGAUGACUUGGUAGCAGAUAUAACAAGCUCGAGAGGAGAUUUUCCUAAGUCUGCCAAAACCAAAGGAUUAGUCCUAACCUACUAUACAGAGUUCCUACUAGAUCUUUAACUGGGAAUAGGGCAUUUACUAUCACUCGGCCAGGUCGCACUGGAAAGAGUGAUGAUCAAAGUAAUGACGCCAGUUAUGGGCAAAUUGUUCUUCGCCUCAUCUCUGUCUCGUCUGGACACUAUAUAUUACCCCCAGCCCACAAGUUUCUUUUCUUUGUUUAGUUUGGCCUCCAGAAUCAUGAUUUUUGCCAUUUAGAGCAUACAGAAAGAGAAUUGCUGCUCUCGUGCGUUGAAUGGUGAUCUUGGUGUGUACUAAACAAUAGAUUACAUUAUGAAUUUGUUUUGUUUUUUCACUUCUCUGGUGAUCUUGCUGUGUACAAGGAAAUAAACAAUCCAGGAGGAAUGCUAGAGUACAAUUCAUUUUUGUUCAUGAGCAUUUUGGAGACGAGAUGAGUUGAUUGCAUUUAGUUGAAGCAAGCCUUGCAAGAGUAAAUAAGAAAGUAGAAUUGUUGGUUCAUAGA